AUUGAACGCUGGCGGCAUGCUUUACACAUGCAAGUCGAACGGCAGCGCGGGCUUCGGCCUGGCGGCGAGUGGCGAACGGGUGAGUAAUGCAUCGGAACGUGCCCAGUAGUGGGGGAUAGCCCGGCGAAAGCCGGAUUAAUACCGCAUACGACCUGAGGGUGAAAGCGGGGGACCGAAAGGCCUCGCGCUAUUGGAGCGGCCGAUGUCGGAUUAGCUAGUUGGUGGGGUAAAGGCUUACCAAGGCGACGAUCCGUAGCUGGUCUGAGAGGACGACCAGCCACACUGGGACUGAGACACGGCCCAGACUCCUACGGGAGGCAGCAGUGGGGAAUUUUGGACAAUGGGGGCAACCCUGAUCCAGCCAUGCCGCGUGCGGGAAGAAGGCCUUCGGGUUGUAAACCGCUUUUGUUCGGGAAGAAAUCCUCUAGGCUAAUACCCCGGGGGGAUGACGGUACCGGAAGAAUAAGCACCGGCUAACUACGUG
rnacentral:rRNA from 1 species